GACGAACGCUGGCGGCGCGCCUAACACAUGCAAGUCGAACGAGAGAUGAGGAGCUUGCUUCCUCAAUCGAGUGGCGAACGGGUGAGUAACGCGUGAGGAACCUGCCUCAAAGAGGGGGACAACAGUUGGAAACGACUGCUAAUACCGCAUAAGCCCACAGCUCGGCAUCGAGCAGAGGGAAAAGGAGCAAUCCGCUUUGAGAUGACCUCGCGUCCGAUUAGCUAGUUGGUGAGGUAACGGCCCACCAAGGCGACGAUCGGUAGCCGGACUGAGAGGUUGAACGGCCACAUUGGGACUGAGACACGGCCCAGACUCCUACGGGAGGCAGCAGUGGGGAAUAUUGCACAAUGGGGGAAACCCUGAUGCAGCGACGCCGCGUGGAGGAAGAAGGUCUUCGGAUUGUAAACUCCUGUUGUUGAGGAAGAUAAUGACGGUACUCAACAAGGAAGUGACGGCUAACUACGUGCCAGCAGCCGCGGUAAAACGUAGGUCACAAGCGUUGUCCGGAAUUACUGGGUGUAAAGGGAGCGCAGGCGGGAGAACAAGUUGGAAGUGAAAUCCAUGGGCUCAACCCAUGAACUGCUUUCAAAACUGUUUUUCUUGAGUAGUGCAGAGGUAGGCGGAAUUCCCGGUGUAGCGGUGGAAUGCGUAGAUAUCGGGAGGAACACCAGUGGCGAAGGCGGCCUACUGGGCACCAACUGACGCUGAGGCUCGAAAGUGUGGGUAGCAAACAGGAUUAGAUACCCUGGUAGUCCACACCGUAAACGAUGAUUACUAGGUGUUGGAGGAUUGACCCCUUCAGUGCCGCAGUUAACACAAUAAGUAAUCCACCUGGGGAGUACGACCGCAAGGUUGAAACUCAAAGGAAUUGACGGGGGCCCGCACAAGCAGUGGAGUAUGUGGUUUAAUUCGACGCAACGCGAAGAACCUUACCAAGUCUUGACAUCCUGCGACGCACAUAGAAAUAUGUGUUUCCUUCGGGACGCAGAGACAGGUGGUGCAUGGUUGUCGUCAGCUCGUGUCGUGAGAUGUUGGGUUAAGUCCCGCAACGAGCGCAACCCUUAUGGUCAGUUACUACGCAAGAGGACUCUGGCCAGACUGCCGUUGACAAAACGGAGGAAGGUGGGGAUGACGUCAAAUCAUCAUGCCCUUUAUGACUUGGGCUACACACGUACUACAAUGGCGUUAAAAAAAGGGAAGGCAGGGCCGCGGGGGGGGGCCAAAAUUCGGAAAAAAGUUCCCGGUUGGGAUGCCGGGUGGAAAUUGCCUGCCAGGAGUUGGAAAUGGUUGGUAUUGGGGAAUAGGCAGGCCCGGGGAAUUAGGUUCCCGGCCUUG
rnacentral:rRNA from 1 species